rnacentral:rRNA from 1 species
GACGAACGCUGGCGGCGUGCCUAAUACAUGCAAGUUGAACGCAGAGGCCAGGAGCUUGCUCUUCUUGGAUGAGUUGCAAAUGUGUGAGUCACGCGUAGGUAACCUGCCUUGUAGCGGGGGAUCUUUAUUGGACCCGAUCGCUAAUACCGCAUGACAAUGGACGACACAUGGCCUUUUUUUGAAAGGGGCAAUUGCUCCACUACAAGACGGACUUGCGUUGUAUUAGGUAGUAGGUGAGGUACUGGCGCACCUAGGCGACGAUACAUAGCCGACCUGAGGGGGUGGUCGGCCACACUGGGACUGAGACACGGCCCACACGCCUGCGGGAGGCAGCAGUAGUGAAUCUUGGGCAAUGGGGGCAACCCUGACCAUGGAACGCCGCGUGCGUGAAGAAGAUUGUCGGAUCGGGAAGCUCGGUUUUACGUCAAGAACCGGGGUGAGGGUGGAAAGUGCACUCUGUGACGGGAGCUGAUCAGAAAGGGACGGCUAACUACGUG